CCUACGGGAGGCAGCAGUGGGGAAUUUUGGACAAUGGGGGCAACCCUGAUCCAGCCAUUUCGCGUGUGCGAUGAAGGCCUUCGGGUUGUAAAGCACUUUUGGCAGGGAAGAAAAGGAUUGGGCUAAUACCCUGAUUCGCUGACGGUACCUGCAGAAUAAGCACCGGCUAACUACGUGCCAGCAGCCGCGGUAAUACGUAGGGUGCAAGCGUUAAUCGGAAUUACUGGGCGUAAAGCGUGCGCAGGCGGUUCGGAAAGAAGGAUGUGAAAUCCCAG
rnacentral:rRNA from 1 species